GAUGAAUUUCAGAAUAUUCAAUCUCUAGUUGGAGGGAACUUUGUCUGCUUGAGAGUAUUCACCAACUUCAACUUCAAAUCAUCUUUAUUCAUCUCGUUAACGGUUGGCCAAGUAUAGCAUGAACUACUAGAGUUUCUCCAGUUGAGAGAGAAAGAAGACAACUAAUUCUCCAAGUAAUGCAUGCACACAUAAAAGAUGGCAAAAGGAUAUUCCAUGAUAGAAUACAUAAUUAAAUAUAUUGUAGAGAUGCCUUGACUGCUAUUUCUGCUUAUUAAAAUCCAGGA
rnacentral:misc_RNA from 1 species